UUGGUGGUCAAGUCCAUAUCUCAGAUACUAUAAGCAAUAGGGCUAGUAUAUUCGGUGUAUGGAAGGACUGUAAGGUUUACAUGUCCAACUGGCAGGUGUCAUCUGACCUUGACCUCAUUUUCAUGGUUCAGUGGUUAUAGUUAAAUUUUUGUGUUUUUGUCUGUUUUUUCUAUACUAUAUGCAAUAGGUCUACUAUAUUUGUUGUAUGGAAUGAUUGUAAGGUGUACAUGUCUAGCGGGCAGAUGUCAUGUGACCUUGACCUCAUUUUCAUGGUUCAGUGGUCAAAGUUAAGUUUUUGAGUUAUGGUCUUUUUAUCUAAUACUAUAUGCCAUAGGUCAACUAUAUUUGGUGUAUGGAAAUAUUUUAUGAUCUUUAUGUCAGUCGCCCAGGUUUUAUUUGACCUUGACCUCAUUUUCACGGUUCAUUGCACAGUGUUAAGUUUUUGUGUUUUGGGCUAUUUUUCUUAAACUAUAAGUAAUGGGUCAACUAUAUAUGUUGUAUAGAAGCAUUGUUAGCUGUACAUGUCUGCCUGGCAUGGUUCAUCUGACCUUGACCUCAUUUUCAAGGUUCAUUGGUCUCUGUUUAGUUAUCUUGGUUAAUGUUAAGUUUAUGUGACAGUUGUAAUAAAGCUUAGCUUUAUACUUAGGACUAUCAACAUAAUAUCAAUGAUUAGUAUAGAAGGUGAGACAUUUCAGCGUGUGCACUCUUGUAU
rnacentral:lncRNA from 1 species